rnacentral:rRNA from 1 species
GAUGAACGCUGGCGGUGUGCCUAAUACAUGCAAGUCGAGCGAACAGACGAGGAGCUUACUCCUCUGACGUUAGCGGCGGACGGGUGAGUAACACGUGGAUAACCUACCUAUAAGACUGGGAUAACUUCGGGAAACCGGAGCUAAUACCGGAUAACAUGUUGAACCGCAUGGUUCAACAGUGAAAGACGGUCUUGCUGUCACUUAUAGAUGGAUCCGCGUCGCAUUAGCUAGUUGGUAAGGUAACGGCUUACCAAGGCAACGAGGCGUAGCCGACCUGAGAGGGUGAUCGGCCACACUGGAACUGAGACACGGUCCAGACUCCUACGGGAGGCAGCAGUAGGGAAUCUUCCGCAAUGGGCGAAAGCCUGACGGAGCAACGCCGCGUGAGUGAAGAAGGUCUUCGGAUCGUAAAACUCUGUUAUUAGGGAAGAACAAAUGUGUAAGUAACUAUGCACGUCUUGACGGUACCUAAUCAGAAAGCCACGGCUAACUACGUG